rnacentral:rRNA from 1 species
AGCAUGGAAUAAUAGAAUAGGACGUGUGGUUCUAUUUUGUUGGUUUCUAGGACCGCCGUAAUGAUUAAUAGGGACAGUCGGGGGCAUCAGUAUUCAAUUGUCAGAGGUGAAAUUCUUGGAUCUAUUGAAGACUAACUACUGCGAAAGCAUUUGCCAAGGAUGUUUUCAUUGAUAAGGAACGAAAGUUAGGGGAUCGAAGACGAUCAGAUACCGUCGUAGUCUUAACUAUAAACUAUGCCGACUAGGGAUCGGACGAUGUUAUUCUUUGACGCGUUCGGCACCUUUCGAGAAAUCAAAGUGCUUGGGCUCCAGGGGGAGUAUGGUCGCAAGGCUGAAACUUAAAGAAAUUGACGGAAGGGCACCACCAGGGGUGGAACCUGCGGCUUAAUUUGACUCAACACGGGGAAACUCACCAGGUCCAGACACAGUGAGGAUUGACAGAUUGAGAGCUCUUUCUUGAUUCUGUGGGUGGUGGUGCAUGGCCGUUCUUAGUUGGUGGAGUGAUUUGUCUGCUUAAUUGCGAUAACGAACGAGACCUUAACCUGCUAAAUAGCCCGUACUGCUUUGGCAGUUCGCCGGCUUCUUAGAGGGACUAUCGGCUCAAGCCGAUGGAAGUUUGAGGCAAUAACAGGUCUGUGAUGCCCUUAGAUGUCCUGGGCCGCACGCGCGUUACACUGACAGAGCCAGCGAGUAUUUCCUUGACCGGAAGGUCCGGGUAAUCUUGUUAAACUCUGUCGUGCUGGGGAUAGAGCAUUGCAAU